rnacentral:misc_RNA from 1 species
AUAGAGAAGCCGUAUCGAUCUUCUCCACUCAGCUAAUUAGGUGAUCAGCUUCACCUGUCAUAGCAGACGCUCAGGUGAGACCAGCUCCACACUCUGGUGGCAGUCGUCAGAACGGUGCCUGAUGUUUGUGUUGGAACUGACUACCACACUGACUCCGUCUGCCUGACUGUCGAGGUAACUCACUGGACGUCAGCUGGACAUCGGACAUUGGACUUCCACAGACUUAACAGAGUUAACACAAAUUGAAGAGCUAAGAAGAACAGAGAUGGCUUCUAAUUAUAGCUCCGUCAUAUCUGGCAAAGACAAGAAAAGCACUUCUGUAUCCACAAGCUGUGACUCUCAUUCCAGUCGCCAGGAACAAAUGAAACAGUUCUUCCAGGAACGUCAGAUGGAUAAUAAUGAGAGUAAACAGACGACGCCAGCAUCUUGUGUUAAAGCUCAGUCCUCCACGAAUCCGCCUCCCAACUCAUCCGGGCAGGUAAAGAAAGUGCAGAACAUGAUGACAGAACUGGAACUUAUGUGACCUUCACCUCCUUCCUUGACCUUCAACUUCCUGGAAGGCAUGACCUUCACACCCUGUGACAAAAGUCAUGUCAUUCUUUUCAAUCUGCCACUGCAGUUUAAGGACAACGUCAGUUGGUUGGCCUACUCUGACUUAAAUGGAUGAAUCCUUCCUAUUCCAGAUAUCCACAUCAACAGUCAGUGUGUAACAGCGGGGCUAAUAAAUCACUGUCAUAUG